AUGUGGAAUUCGCCCUUCUUGGUCAUUUAGAGGAAGUAAAAGUCGUAACAAGGUUUCCGUAGGUGAACCUGCGGAAGGAUCAUUAUUGAAUUAAAUCUUGGCAAUGGGUUGUAGCUGGCCUCUCGGGGCAUGUGCUCGCUCUUGUCAUCUUUUAUAUUUCCACCUGUGCACUUUCUGUAGAUGUCGAGGGGGUUAAUAAGUGGGGAUGGAGAGGGGUGUAAACCUUUCUACGUUCAUACUUUCCCUUUGGCAUUUAUUUUAUUACAUACCCCAUACAAAUGUAAAAGAAUGAUUGAUAUUGGAAUAAAGUUUAUACAACUUUCAGCAACGGAUCUCUUGGCUCUCGCAUCGAUGAAGAACGCAGCGAAAUGCGAUAAGUAAUGUGAAUUGCAGAAUUCAGUGAAUCAUCGAAUCUUUGAACGCACCUUGCGCUCCUUGGUAUUCCGAGGAGCAUGCCUGUUCGAGUGUCAUUAAAUUCUCAACCUUGAAACGGCUUUUGUUGUAUUCAGGUGUUGGACUUGGGAGCUUUUGUUGGCUAUAACUAGUCGACUCUCCUUAAAUGUAUUAGCUGGUGAAGACUUGCAUUCUUGGGUGUGAUAAUUAUCUACGCCAAAGGGAUUGCUUUUCUAAGUCACUGCUUCUAAUAGUCCUUUAUUGGACAAACUUAUUUUUGACUUGGCCUCGAAUCAGGUAGGACUACCCGCUGAACUUAAGCAUAUCAAUAAGCGGAGGAAAAGAAACUAACAAGGAUUCCCCUAGUAACUGCGAGUGAAGCGGGAAAAGCUCAAAUUUAAAAUCUGGCAGUCUCUGAUUGUCCGAGUUGUAAUCUAGAGAAGCAUUAUCCGCGCUGGACCGUGUACAAGUCUCCUGAAGGGCGAAUUC
rnacentral:rRNA from 1 species